GAAACGACAGAAAAGUUUCUUCUCUUCUUUUUUCCUCUACUAAUGGACGGACACCAAGCCAUCGAUCGUGAGCUAGUUUCACCAUGGAGUCUUGGGCUUUGGGCAAAGACCCUUACCUCUCCUUGGGCCUGACACCGCCGGCAAUUGCUGCGGAUAGAAAUCGAUCUCUUCUGCUCUCAUUCUUCUAACUUCUCCAGCCUCAGCUGUAACACAAUCUCAAAAAGACGGAGAAAAAGAAAAGUUAGGACUUAACUAGUUGCAAGAGACCUCCUUUUACAACCCUCUUCGUGUGCUCUGCUGUAUUUCCUGCCUGCUCCUGGAAUUCUCCUAACUCCUCCUAAAGGUUUUCCAGGAGUCAACUGGAGACUCAGAUCACUCACAGAGGACUUUGAGUUGAUAAAUAUUUAUUCGCAUAUUCAUAAAGGUGGAGAUCAUAGUAACGGAGAUGACAUAAAUAGGAGGCUUCAAAGACUGAGAGUGCAGUGCUUAUCUUUCCAGUGAUGUAAGAGAAGAGCUGAGGUGGUGAUGAUGGCGAUGGCAUCUUUGAGAUCCUGCGAUGUUUUGUCAGUGGCCCUUAUAUCAAAGAAGAUUUUAUGCAAGUGCUCGAGCAGAGGCUCCCCCUCCAUGUUUGAAGAUCUCCCAGAAGAGAAGAUUUCGGUUGUGCUGUGAAGCGGAACAUCAUGAAUCUCAACCGGGGAAUGAUGAGGCCCGAUUCUCAGUUCACCAAGCAGUCAUCCCCCAACAGGCCUAAUGAGGAAAAUCACCACCUUCCUGCAGGACCAAGAUUAGUGAUUGAUGCACUGGUUUAUGCAUUUCCAGGGUUUGGGAGCUAAGAAGUAAACCAGCAUCCAUGGUGAUAAGGAACAUGACACAAGUCCCUCAAGCCACCUCAAUUCCAUCCAAGGGAUGUGAGAUAUGUCCAUCUGAACAUUUUUGUGUUCCUAAAGGUAUUUAUGAAUUAUAAUUUUGUACUUGCUGUCCAAAUGGCCAGUGUGGAAAACAGAGCUUCAUGUAUCUAAAAGUUUUUCCCAAGCUUCUGCUUUACAUUUUAUUUGUUUACCUCGAGGAAUGAACGUGUAGAAUGGGAGGACACUGUUCAUUGUUUCAGCAAGGAUAACUAGCACUUUCAAAUGAUAAGAAUUCAAUUUUCAAUUCUGAUUUAGCUUUCAUUUCUUGCACCCUCAAAGCCUGAAUAUAAAACGCUUAAAACACGAUCCCUUAAGAAAACUAGCCAAAGGAAUACUCAGUUAUAAGUGCUAUAAAUGGUAAAGACAUUUGGCUGUUUUAAUUUGAAAGAUAAGCAGCAAUAGUGGGAUUCAUUGAGUGCCUAUAGCAUGCAAUGCAUUGUACUAAAGUACCA